GACGAACGCUGGCGGCGUGCUUAACACAUGCAAGUCGAACGGAAAGGCCCUGCUUUUGUGGGGUGCUCGAGUGGCGAACGGGUGAGUAACACGUGAGUAACCUGCCCUUGACUUUGGGAUAACUUCAGGAAACUGGGGCUAAUACCGGAUAGGAGCUCCUGCUGCAUGGUGGGGGUUGGAAAGUUUCGGCGGUUGGGGAUGGACUCGCGGCUUAUCAGCUUGUUGGUGGGGUAGUGGCUUACCAAGGCCUUGACGGGUAGCCGGCCUGAGAGCGUGACCGGCGACAUGAGGACUACGAGAGGGAGCAGUCGCCUACGUGAGGCAGCAGGCGGGAAUAUGGCGCAGUGGGGGCGAGUCAGAUGCAGCGACGCUGCGUGCGUGAUGACGUCCUUCGGGUUAUAAACCGCUGUGGACGGUGACGAACCGUGAGUGACGGUAAUGAGUAAGGAAGCACCGGCUAACUACGUG
rnacentral:rRNA from 1 species